GGGCGUGUAGCGCAGGUGGUAGCGCGUUCGCUUAGCAAUGUUUCAAUAUAUUUCCUGUGAAAGGUCCUGGGUUCGAAUCCUAGCUCGUCCA